CAACAGGUUUGAAACUGACAGUUUCACGAUUUUUCCAUAGAUUUCUGGUGCACGUUUUUGUAAUCACGAGGGAAAUCGCGAUUACGUAGGUUCAGUGGUAGACACACGUUUCCUUGACGUUUAGUCCAGUUUUGCAUCCGGCACAGAUCGAUAUUGAACGGGGCAGACAGCGCAUAGAGCGUUCAGCUCGAACAAAGAAGGAUUUUUCGAGGCGCCGAUGCGAGCAGCACCUGGAGAGGCGAUGUGAGGGACCAUUCGGAGGAUAGGAGCGGCCCAGCGAAUAAUAUUGGGAAGUCUGCAGCUGUCACAGCAGCUGCAACCCUCCUCGCUUGGCUCACAAUCUGACCGGCAGCUUUUCUGCCUCCUCCUCAUCCUCUUCACCCACCUCUGCCACCUUCUCCUCUCGUAUGCCAUUACCUCGUUCUCAUGGUCUAACUUCUGCCUCGUGUUCUCAUUCCGGUCCUUCCAGAAUUGAGAUAAAAACCAUCUUAUGGAGACCAUUGAUUCAAUCCUUUAGUUUUAGCUUUAAUCUUGUUGUGAAUUUUCUGGAGGAAAUUCUUU